rnacentral:snRNA from 1 species
ACACUCUGGUUUCUCUUCAGAUCCUAUAAAUCUUUCAGCUUUUUA